UACGAAGGGGGCUAGCGUUGCUCGGAAUCACUGGGCGUAAAGCGCACGUAGGCGGCUUUCUAAGUCAGGGGUGAAAUCCUGGAGCUCAACUCCAGAACUGCCUUUGAUACUGGAGAGCUAGAGUCCGGAAGAGGUGAGUGGAACUGCGAGUGUAGAGGUGAAAAUUCGUAGAUAUUCGCAAGAACACCAGUGGCGAAGGCGGCUCACUGGUCCGGUACUGACGCUGAGGUGCGAAAGCGUGGGGAGCAAACAGGG
rnacentral:rRNA from 1 species